rnacentral:rRNA from 1 species
UACGUAGGGACCGAGCGUUGUCCGGAAUCAUUGGGCGUAAAGAGCGUGUAGGCGGCCCCUUAAGUCCUGCGUGAAAUCCUGCGGCUCAACCGCAGACGGUCGUGGGAAACUGGAGGGCUAGAGUGCGGGAGAGGAGAGUGGAAUUCCCGGUGUAGCGGUGAAAUGCGCAGAUAUCGGGAGGAACACCGGUGGCGAAGGCGGUUCUCUGGGCCUUACCUGACGCUGAGGAGCGAAAGCAUGGGGAGCAAACAGG